UUUUUAUGGCAAAAUAUAAAAGUAAGAAAGUUGAAGAUGGUGGCUAUCUUUGAAAUGGAGGUGAUGCUUAUGCAAGUAAGUGUUCAAAUCUAUAGAAAGGAGAUGCCUAUUUGUCAGUAUUAGAGACGAUUGAACUUUUAUUAGGCUUUGGUAUAUUUAUCAUUGCGUUAAU
rnacentral:sRNA from 1 species